rnacentral:misc_RNA from 1 species
GGAAGUCUAGGUGGUUUCCUCCAAAAUCUCCUGAAUUUACCACUUCCAUGAGUCAUGAGAUUUUCUCCUUCCUUUGAUCCAUCAUUUUUUGCUAUACCAUCAGACACGGGAUGGACAGCACUUUUAUUAGUCAGUACUAGAUAUGCUAAACCACCAAGCAUCAGUAACACGAGAAGUUUCCCAGUGCUACAUUUCAAAUAAUCUCGUUUCCCAUUACUGGUUAAUAGAACCUGAGAAAUUACCUGAGAUACGGAUCGCUGUCUGAACUUGGCGUUAUCGUAGUGCACAUCUUUCAUUGAAUAGGGCAAUGAUUUCGACAUCGUCUGAUUCUCGAUACAAAACAAAAGAGCAACAACUUCAGAUUCUCAAUUUGGCUCUGCCUUACAGCAGCCGUAAACGCGUGUGUAUUGCCUACUAUAGUACAGCGGCGCGUGCACGUAUAUAGGAGUGUAUUAUUGUACAGAACCAGAUGAAU